rnacentral:tRNA from 1 species
GGUGGAGUGACCGAGCGGACCAAGGUGCCCGCCUGGAAAGCGGGUGGCCGAGAGGCCACGUGGGUUCGAAUCCCACCUCCACCG